rnacentral:tRNA from 2 species
GGCUCUGUAGCUCAGUCGGUAGAGCAGUGGCCUGAAGAGCCUCGUGUCAGCGGUUCGAUUCCGCUUGGAGCCA